GACGAACGCUGGCGGCGUGCUUAACACAUGCAAGUCGAACGGAAAGGCCCUGCUUUUGUGGGGUGCUCGAGUAGCGAACGGGUGAGUAACACGUGAGUAACCUGCCCUUGACUUUGGGAUAACUUCAGGAAACUGGGGCUAAUACCGGAUAGGAGCUCCUGCUGCAUGGUGGGGGUUGGAAAGUUUCGGCGGUUGGGGAUGGACUCGCGGCUUAUCAGCUUGUUGGUGGGGUAGUGGCUUACCAAGGCUUUGACGGGUAGCCGGCCUGAGAGGGUGACCGGCCACAUUGGGACUGAGAUACGGCCCAGACUCCUACGGGAGGCAGCAGUGGGGAAUAUUGCACAAUGGGCGGAAGCCUGAUGCAGCAACGCCGCGUGCGGGAUGACGGCCUUCGGGCUGUAAACCGCUUUCGCCUGUGACGAAGCGUGAGUGACGGUAAUGGGUAAAGAAGCACCGGCUAACUACGUG
rnacentral:rRNA from 1 species